UGCAGCUAUGAACCAAGAUGAUUAAAAUAAUAAAUUACACUUAGCAAAAACAAAUUAAAAAUGAGAUGGUUUCUGUUCCUCUACUAACACCUAUUGUCAUACAAUUUCCACAUCCCUUUCAACUGCUUGUGACGUUUGAUCAGAACUAUUGUAGCUUGAUCUAUUUUUAAAAGAUCUUUGGAAGACAGCAAAGGCACUUCUUGAUCUUGAAAAUGCUCGGGUUGCAUUGCUUGACUUGUUGUCACGAUUCUUCUUCGCCAGAUCUUCUGAUAAUGUCUUGACAAGAUUUUGGAAAUGACGUCUUGAUGUAGGAUAUCUUGAUACAGAUUUAGUAAUCCCUUGAAGCCUUCGAGCUAGUGCAUCAAGUUCAGCUCGUUUACGUUCAGAAUCUGGUGCUGGACCAAUAUUUACACUUUUCAACUUCAUGGGGUCGCCGUUCAACAAUACUAGUUUGCAGAGAUAAUCCUCUUCUUCAUCGGAAAGGUGGAGUACUUUAAUCUGGUCUUUCAUUAUUAUAAAGGGGUUAAAAAACCAAUCAAAGAAGGCCUCUUUUGGUUUGUUUGAGCUUGUCAACUCAGUCAUAUUGUCGCUCAACAAAAUACCCUCAGAAUUGGCUUUCACAGAGCGCAGGAGCGCCUGAAGAAGGCAAUAAGCUGGCAAGCCAAUGCUAACCACAGUGCCACCCUUGUUAGCC
rnacentral:misc_RNA from 1 species